GACCUCUCGGGUGGUCUAGUGGUUAGAGCGUCCGCCUCGAAUGCGGGAGGUCGAGGAUUCAAACCCCGGCUAAGUCA